AGAGUUUGAUCCUGGCUCAGGAUGAACGCUGGCGGCGUGCCUAAUACAUGCAAGUCGAGCGAACGGACGAGAAGCUUGCUUCUCUGAUGUUAGCGGCGGACGGGUGAGUAACACGUGGAUAACCUACCUAUAAGACUGGGAUAACUUCGGGAAACCGGAGCUAAUACCGGAUAAUAUUUUGAACCGCAUGGUUCAAAAGUGAAAGACGGUCUUGCUGUCACUUAUAGAUGGAUCCGCGCUGCAUUAGCUAGUUGGUAAGGUAACGGCUUACCAAGGCAACGAUGCAUAGCCGACCUGAGAGGGUGAUCGGCCACACUGGAACUGAGACACGGUCCAGACUCCUACGGGAGGCAGCAGUAGGGAAUCUUCCGCAAUGGGCGAAAGCCUGACGGAGCAACGCCGCGUGAGUGAUGAAGGUCUUCGGAUCGUAAAACUCUGUUAUUAGGGAAGAACAUAUGUGUAAGUAACUGUGCACAUCUUGACGGUACCUAAUCAGAAAGCCACGGCUAACUACGUGCCAGCAGCCGCGGUAAUACGUAGGUGGCAAGCGUUAUCCGGAAUUAUUGGGCGUAAAGCGCGCGUAGGCGGUUUUUUAAGUCUGAUGUGAAAGCCCACGGCUCAACCGUGGAGGGUCAUUGGAAACUGGAAAACUUGAGUGCAGAAGAGGAAAGUGGAAUUCCAUGUGUAGCGGUGAAAUGCGCAGAGAUAUGGAGGAACACCAGUGGCGAAGGCGACUUUCUGGUCUGUAACUGACGCUGAUGUGCGAAAGCGUGGGGAUCAAACAGGAUUAGAUACCCUGGUAGUCCACGCCGUAAACGAUGAGUGCUAAGUGUUAGGGGGUUUCCGCCCCUUAGUGCUGCAGCUAACGCAUUAAGCACUCCGCCUGGGGAGUACGACCGCAAGGUUGAAACUCAAAGGAAUUGACGGGGACCCGCACAAGCGGUGGAGCAUGUGGUUUAAUUCGAAGCAACGCGAAGAACCUUACCAAAUCUUGAUAUCCUUUGACAACUCUAGAGAUAGAGCCUUCCCCUUCGGGGGACAAAGUGACAGGUGGUGCAUGGUUGUCGUCAGCUCGUGUCGUGAGAUGUUGGGUUAAGUCCCGCAACGAGCGCAACCCUUAAGCAUAGUUGCCAUCAUUAAGUUGGGCACUCUAAGUUGACUGCCGGUGACAAACCGGAGGAAGGUGGGGAUGACGUCAAAUCAUCAUGCCCCUUAUGAUUUGGGCUACACACGUGCUACAAUGGACAAUACAAAGGGCAGCGAAACCGCGAGAUCAAGCAAAUCCCAUAAAGUUGUUCUCAGUUCGGAUUGUAGUCUGCAACUCGACUACAUGAAGCUGGAAUCGCUAGUAAUCGUAGAUCAGCAUGCUACGGUGAAUACGUUCCCGGGUCUUGUACACACCGCCCGUCACACCACGAGAGUUUGUAACACCCGAAGCCGGUGGAGUAACCUUUUAGGAGCUAGCCGUCGAAGGUGGGACAAAUGAUUGGGGUGAAGUCGUAACAAGGUAGCCGUAUCGGAAGGUGCGGCUGGAUCACCU
rnacentral:rRNA from 1 species